GGGAUUGCCUCAGUAACGGCGAGUGAAGCGGCAACAGCUCAAAUUUGAAAUCUGGCCCAUCGGGGUCCGAGUUGUAAUUUGUAGAGAGUGCUUCGGGCGAGGCCUCGGUCUAAGUCCAUUGGAACAUGGUGUCAUAGAGGGUGAGAAUCCCGUAUGCGACCGUGGCUCGAGCCCAUGUGAAGCCUCUUCGACGAGUCGAGUUGUUUGGGAAUGCAGCUCAAAAUGGGUGGUAAAUUUCAUCUAAAGCUAAAUACUGGCUGGAGACCGAUAGCGCACAAGUAGAGUGAUCGAAAGAUGAAAAGCACUUUGGAAAGAGAGUCAAACAGUACGUGAAAUUGUUGAAAGGGAAGCGCUUGCAACCAGACCUGCCCGUAGGCGAUCAGCCGCUGUUCUCAGCGGUGCACUCGCUCUGCGAUCAGGCCAGCAUCGGUUUCGGCGGUCGGAUAAAGGCCUUGGGAAUGUAGCUUCUCUUCGGGGGAGUCUUAUAGCCCUCGGUGCAAUGCGGCCAGCCGGGACCGAGGACCGCGCUUCGGCUAGGAUGCUGGCGUAAUGGUUGUAAGCGACCCGUCUUGAAACACGGACCAAGGAGUCUAACAUCUAUGCGAGUGUUUGGGUGUCAAACCCAUGCGCGGAAUGAAAGUGAACGGAGGUGAGAACCCUUUAGGGCGCAUCAUCGACCGAUCCAGAUGUCUUCGGAUGGAUUUGAGUAUGAGCAUAGCUGUUGGGACCCGAAAGAUGGUGAACUAUGCCUGAAUAGGGUGAAGCCAGAGGAAACUCUGGUGGAGGCUCGCAGCGGUUCUGACGUGCAAAUCGAUCGUCAAAUUUGGGUAUAGGGGCGAAAGACUAAUCG
rnacentral:rRNA from 1 species